UAUUGUAGAUUAGGUUUUGUGAUUUUGAAAUUAGUAUAACAAGAAUAUUUUUGGAUAGAUGAGUAUUCUUUAAGAAUUUUUCAUCGAUAUGUUGUAUUUUAAAAUAAUUUUCUUAAAAACUGCUAUUUUUGGAAAGUUUUCAUUUUUUUAGAGAAAUAUUGUAGAUUAGGUUUUGUGAUUUUGAAAUUAGUAUAACAGGAAUAUUUUUGGAUAGAUGAGUAUUCUUUAAGAAUUUUUCAUCGAUAUGUUGUAUUUUAAAAUAAUUUUCUUAAAAACUGCUAUUUUUGGAAAGUUUUCAAUUUUUAUAGAGAAAUAUUGUAGAUUAGGGUUUGUGAUUUAGAAAUCAGGAUAACAAGAAUAUUUUUGGAUAGAUAAGUAUUCUUUAAGAAUUUUUCAUGAAUAUGUUAUAUUUAUAAAUAAUUUUCUUAAAAACU
rnacentral:lncRNA from 1 species